AGAGUUUGAUCCUGGCUCAGAACGAACGUUGGCGGCGUGGAUUAGGCAUGCAAGUCGAACGAAUCCCGGUAGCAAUAUCGGGGGAAGUGGCGAAAGGGGCAGUAAGGCGUGGAUAACCUACCCUGGGGACUGGGAUAGCCUUCCUAACGGAAGGGUAAUACUGGGCGAUCUGGCGAGCAGACAUCUGUUUGCCAGGAAAUGAAUUUCGCCUCGGGAGGGGUCCACGUGCUAUUAGCUUGUUGGCGGGGUAACGGCCCACCAAGGCGAAGAUGGCUAGCGGGUGUGAGAGCACGACCCGCGCCACUGGCACUGAGACACUGGCCAGACUCCUACGGGAGGCUGCAGUCGAGGAUCUUCGGCAAUGGGCGCAAGCCUGACCGAGCGACGCCGCGUGUGCGAUGAAGGCCUUCGGGUUGUAAAGCACUGUCGAGGGGGAGAAAGCCGCAAGGUUGAU
rnacentral:rRNA from 1 species